UCUUGGUCAUUUAGAGGAAGUAAAAGUCGUAACAAGGUCUCCGUUGGUGAACCAGCGGAGGGAUCAUUAUAGAGUUGUAAAACUCCCAACCCUUUGUGAACCUUACCUGUCUUAGUUGCUUCGGCAGGCGGCCCCAGGGCGGGGUCUACAGCCUGUUUUUACAGGCGCCUGCCGGAGGAAUUUUUAAAAACUCUUUAUUUUUUAGUGUCUCUCUGAGUCUAAAAACAAAUAAGUCAAAACUUUCAACAACGGAUCUCUUGGUUCUGGCAUCGAUGAAGAACGCAGCGAAAUGCGAUAAGUAAUGUGAAUUGCAGAAUUCAGUGAAUCAUCGAAUCUUUGAACGCAUAUUGCGCCCGUUAGUAUUCUAGCGGGCAUGCCUGUUCGAGCGUCAUUUCAACCUUCAAGCUUCUCCUUUUGCUUGGUGCUGGGGAUCCUAUAAACUUGCUUUAUAGGGCCCUGAAAAUUAGUGGCGGGCUCGCUAACACUCCGAGCGUAGUAGUUUAUUAUUCUCGCUUAGGACGUUUAGUGGGUUCUGGCCGUUAAAACCCCCAAACUUUUUAUAAUGGUUGACCUCGGAUCAGGUAGGAAUACCCGCUGAACUUAAGCAUAUCAAUAAGCGGAGGAAAAGAAACCAACAGGGAUUGCCCUAGUAACGGCGAGUGAAGCGGCAACAGCUCAAAUUUGAAAUCUGGCUUCGGCCCGAGUUGUAAUUUGUAGAGGAUGCUUUUGGCGAGGUGCCUUCUGAGUUCCCUGGAACGGGACGCCAUAGAGGGUGAGAGCCCCGUAUAGUCGGACGCCAAGCCUGUGUAAAGCUCCUUCGACGAGUCGAGUAGUUUGGGAAUGCUGCUCAAAAUGGGAGGUAAAUGCCUUCUAAAGCUAAAUACCGGCCAGAGACCGAUAGCGCACAAGUAGAGUGAUCGAAAGAUGAAAAGCACUUUGAAAAGAGGGUUAAACAGCACGUGAAAUUGUUGAAAGGGAAGCGCUUAUGACCAGACUUGUGCCCGGUAAAUCAUCCAGCGUUCUCGCUGGUGCACUUUGCCGGGUUCAGGCCAGCAUCGGUUCUCGUAGGGGGAUAAAAGCUUCGGGAACGUAACUCCUCCGGGAGUGUUAUAGCCCGUUGCAUAAUACCUCUGUGGGGACCGAGGUUCGCGCAUCUGCAAGGAUGCUGGCGUAAUGGUCAUCAGCGACCCGUCUUGAAACACGGACCAAGGAGUCAAGGUUAGGCGCGAGUGUUUGGGUGUAAAACCCGCACGCGUAAUGAAAGUGAACGUAGGUGGGAGCUUCGGCGCACCAUCGACCGAUCCUGAUGUAUUCGGAUGGAUUUGAGUAAGAGCGUUUAGCCUUGGACCCGAAAGAUGGUGAACUAUGCCUGAAUAGGGUGAAGCCAGAGGAAACUCUGGUGGAGGCUCGCAGCGGUUCUGACGUGCAAAUCGAUCGUC
rnacentral:misc_RNA from 1 species